rnacentral:snoRNA from 1 species
AUCUCACAAUUUAUAACAUGACCGACGUCGAAGGAGUUGCAUGCUUCUGAAUUGUCUACUGUUCAUAAAGAGAGAUUAUUCAAUGGGUGCAGUCCUUUUCCAUAUUUGGAGUCGGUGUAGAUAAUGUCGGAUGGACCGACAGCAUAGCUAAAAACCAUCGUGAAGUCGUCGCUUCGUGCCAUGGCUCGUGAUGACCGAAUGCUACGUACAUUUG